ACUAUAGACCAAUCAGAUCAGUGACGUCAAACUGCAGCCCCUGAAGACCAGCAUCCUGUAACUUUUAGACAAUGCUACCAUAACUGUGCCACCAGUACUUUUCUUAAAAUAAUUUUCUUAAAAUUAUAUUUGAAAAGCUGUUCUCAAAUCUAAGGCAUGGAU